rnacentral:rRNA from 1 species
UACGAAGGGGGGCUAGCGUUGCUCGGAAUCACUGGGCGUAAAGGGUGCGUAGGCGGGUCUUUUAAGUCAGGGGUGAAAUCCUGGAGCUCAACUCCAGAACUGCCUUUGAUACUGAAGAUCUUGAGUUCGGGAGAGGUGAGUGGAACUGCGAGUGUAGAGGUGAAAUUCGUAGAUAUUCGCAAGAACACCAGUGGCGAAGGCGGCUCACUGGCCCGAUACUGACGCUGAGGCACGAAAGCGUGGGGGAGCAAACAGG